AACUUGCGUCCUCAUGCAUACAAGUCAGAUUCAUGUCCACUUAGCCACGACAGGAACUCCCUAAAUAUAUUUGUUAAUAAACCAAUGGUUCUCCAGACUUUUUAGCGUACUAAGUGCUAAAGCAAACAAGAGAUUCUUCUCAAAAUAUGUCGGUGGCUUGAGAGAUGUCAUUACCAAGUGGUGAUCUAUACAGAAGCUUCACCGUAACAAGCAUGUCUGACCACCGCACUGCUAUGGAGAUCACUGUCUGUGUGGAGUAAUGACAGUCCUGCUGAAGAUGACUGGGUGAACUCUUCCUUUGGCUGUACUGUCAGGAACAUUCAUGUUCAAGAACACAUGUUUGGCAUCUACUGUUGAUUUUGAUACAGUGUCUUCCCCCUUUUGGAUGUUGUCUGUGGGGCAUUAUGGUCCCCAGUGUGGACCACUAGGGUACCUGAGCAGUGUGGAGGGUCCUUCAUUGGAACACGUAGCAUCAGUGGAGAUCAUGGUGGCUCCUGAUUUCUGCUUCCUUUGCAAGGGCACUUGUGAUGAAGAUGUGGGGCUCCUCUUGACCGAGAAGAUCAGGCUUAGGCACGCGAGGAAUCCACUUCCAAUAUGCUUCUGUGAGAUAAUAGACUAUACAUUGGUCUCUGCCACUACUGCCUGGCACAGAGCUCCUGAAACCCGUGUAAUUUCCUAGGUGAUAGGUGUGUCUUUUUCUUCUCAUGGGGUAACUCUGGGUGGGCUUCUGCAUGGCUUCGGGAUGAGGGCUGGUCAGCAGAAGAGCAAACCAUGAUGGAGGCUUGAAAGUUUCAGCCCCGCCCCAUUCUCUUAAGAAGGGAGAAGGACUGAAAAUGGAGGUGAUGGUUGACCAUGCUCAAAUGAGGAAGUCCCCCCUGAAAAAAUCCCCAACUACAGAAUUCAGAGAGCUUCCAGGUGGAUGAAUACAUCCUCAUAAUGGGAGAGUGAUGUACCCCAACUCCAUGGGGAUAGGAACUCCUGAGUUUGAACCCCUUUCAGACAUCACACUGUGUAUCUCUUCAUCUGGGUGUUCAUUUGUAUCUUUUGUCAUAUCCUUUAAUAAACUGGUAAAUAGAAGUAUUUCCUUGAAUUCUGUGUGUACCUUUAGCAAAUUAAUGGAGAAAGGUGUCUUAGGCAUCAUUUCAUGAGUACAAAUGAUUAAUUCUGUGAACUCCUUGGUACAUAUGAAUGCUUGGAUAUUCAACUUUGUAGUAAUUGGAUAAUUUCUUAUACACAAGCUUAUAGAUUAUGGAAAGAUAAUCUUUUACUUGAUAAAAAGAUAGUCUUGGUUUUACCAAAAGGGGUCUUGUAUAUAUGUUGCUCUUAUUAGUCCAUGCUGGAAUAUUUACUUCCAGUUUAUACAAAUAUUUGAUCAUGGAAUAACUUGCAGCAUAUGUAAUUCUUAGUAGUCACCAAAAUUAUGUUUAUGUCUUUGCUCUUCAAAUGAUAUAGGUUGUCAUUGGAUCUGAAGACAAUGUAAGUGUUUACUUUUAGUAUCAAAAAUCUUCUCAUUUUCACUAUGCUGUAUUUUGCUUAUGAUAUUUGUCUGAGUUAUGUAUCUAUGUGUAUGAGGGAAAUGUGACUUUUCCUGCAAUGAAAGGUUCCUGGUCCUAUUAAUAUAUAUGCCAUGACCUCCUCCAUAGUCUUCCAGUUGCCCCUUUCUUUGGUCUCAGCAUCCUCUGCUGUGAAAUCCAAUGCUGAUGUCUGGAUUGCAACACGUUUACUUCUAACAAGGUGAAAGGAAUUCAAGAGGAUGAGGGACCUCUACCACUGCUACAAAUUAAGAAAUGAAAGUUCCUGGGGAAAUGGGAAUGGACACAAAAGCCAUUAAAGAAAGUUUCUUUAACGAGG